UACGUAGGGGGCAAGCGUUGUUCGGAUUUACUGGGCGUAAAGGGCGCGUAGGCGGCGCAACAAGUCACUUGUGAAAUCUCCGGGCUUAACCCGGAGCGGCCAAGUGAUACUGUCGUGCUAGAGUGCGGAAGGGGCUACUGGAAUUCUCGGUGUAGCGGUGAAAUGCGUAGAUAUCGAGAGGAACACCUGCGGCGAAGGCGGGUAGCUGGGCCGACACUGACGCUGAGGCGCGAAAGCCAGGGGAGCGAACGGG
rnacentral:rRNA from 1 species